rnacentral:rRNA from 1 species
AUUGAACGCUGGCGGCAGGCCUAACACAUGCAAGUCGAGCGGUAACAGAUCCAGCUUGCUGGAUGCUGACGAGCGGCGGACGGGUGAGUAAUGCAUAGGAAUCUGCCCGAUAGUGGGGGAUAACCUGGGGAAACCCAGGCUAAUACCGCAUACGUCCUACGGGAGAAAGGGGACUCCGGCUCCCGCUAUGGGAUGAGCCUAUGUCGGAUUAGCUAGUUGGUGAGGUAAUGGCUCACCAAGGCAACGAUCCGUAGCUGGUCUGAGAGGAUGAUCAGCCACAUCGGGACUGGGACACGGCCCGAACUCCUACGGGAGGCAGCAGUGGGGAAUAUUGGACAAUGGGCGCAAGCCUGAUCCAGCCAUACCGCGUGUGUGAAGAAGGCCCUCGGGUUGUAAAGCACUUUCAGCGAGGAAGAACGCCUAGUGGUUAAUACCCAUUAGGAAAGACAUCACUCGCAGAGAAGCAACCGGCUAACUCCGUGCCAGCAGCCGCGGUAAUACGGAGGGUGCAAGCGUUAAUCGGAAUUACUGGGCGUAAAGCGCGACUAGGUGGCUUGAUAAGCCGGCUGUGAAAGCCCCGGGCUCAACCUGGGAACGGCAUCCGGAACUGUCAAGCUAGAGUGCAGGAAGGAGGGUAGAAUUCCCGGUGUAGCGGUGAAAUGCGUAGAGAUCGGGAGGAAUACCAGUGGCGAAGGCGGCCUUCUGGACUGACACUGACACUGAGGUGCGAAAGCGUGGGUAGCAAACAGGAUUAGAUACCCUGGUAGUCCACGCCGUAAACGAUGUCGACCAGCCGUUGGGUGCCUAGCGCACUUUGUGGCGAAGUUAACGCGAUAAGUCGACCGCCUGGGGAGUACGGCCGCAAGGUUAAAACUCAAAUGAAUUGACGG